rnacentral:tRNA from 1 species
UCCCUACUGGCUCAGAUGGUAAAGCAUCUGCCUACAAUGUGGGAGACCCAGGUUCAAUCCCUGGGUUGGGAA